rnacentral:misc_RNA from 1 species
CAGAGCUUUGCAUUGCCUGCAUGAGCUGACGAAGCCCAUUAUUUUGUACUGUUCCUGGCUUAAACUAUGUUCUCAGCUUGCGACUUGCCAUUGGUUUGCUGGACUUCUGAGUUGCCCAGUCUGUGCAAGGAAUUGUAAAGAGUGAUUGGUGGUACAUGUAUUUUUAGAAUGGUGUGAAUCAACAGUGUUUUUUAUGUGAUAUGCAGUCUAUAAUUUCUGAACAAAGCAUUUUAUUUAGUGUUCAUUUGUUUUCUUGGGAGCUAAAAAAAACACUGU